ACGAACGCUGGCGGCGUGCCUAAUACCUGCAAGUAGAACGCUGAAGAGAGGAGCUUGCUCUUCUUGGAUGAGUUGCGAACGGGUGAGUAACGCGUAGGUAACCUGCCUUGUAGCGGGGGAUAACUAUUGGAAACGAUAGCUAAUACCGCAUAACAAUGGAUGACACAUGUCAUUUAUUUGAAAGGGGCAAUUGCUCCACUACAAGAUGGACCUGCGUUGUAUUAGCUAGUAGGUGAGGUAAUGGCUCACCUAGGCGACGAUACAUAGCCGACCUGUGAGGGUGAUCGGCCACACUGGGACUGGGACACGGCCCAGACUCCUACGGGGGGCAGCAGUAGGGAAUCUUCGGCAAUGGGGGCAACCCUGACCGAGCAACGCCGCGUGAGUGAAGAAGGUUUUCGGAUCGUAAAGCUCUGUUGUAAGUCAAGAACGGGUGUGAGAGUGGAAAGUUCACACUGUGACGGUAGCUUACCAGAAAGGGACGGCUAACUACGUG
rnacentral:rRNA from 1 species